GGAUAUGAGAAUGAUCUGGCUGUGACAUCUGCCAUGUUAGCGAUUGCCAGGGUUGAUUUGGCUGAUACGGCUGGUGAGGCAGCUGUCCCCUCUUCCUUCCUCACAACUCC
rnacentral:sRNA from 1 species